AGAGUUUGAUCAUGGCUCAGAGCGAACGCUGGCGGCGUACUUAACACAUGCAAGUCGAACGGGGAUCGUCGGGUUAGCAAUAAUUCGGCGGUCCUAGUGGCGCACGGGUGAGUAACACGUGGGUAACCUGCCCUUGAGUUCGGGAUACCCCCUCGAAAGGGGGGCUAAUACCGGGUACGUUCCUCGGAUCGACAGGUCUGGGGAGGAAAGGUGGCGCAAGCUGCCGCUCUUGGAGGGGCUCGCG
rnacentral:rRNA from 1 species